UACGGAGGGGGCUAGCGUUGUUCGGAAUUACUGGGCGUAAAGCGCACGUAGGCGGCUUUGUAAGUUAGAGGUGAAAGCCCAGGGCUUAACCCUGGAAUUGCCUUUAAGACUGCAUCGCUAGAAUCGUGGAGAGGUGAGUGGAAUUCCGAGUGUAGAGGUGAAAUUCGUAGAUAUUCGGAGGAACACCAGUGGCGAAGGCGGCUCACUGGUCCGGUACUGACGCUGAGGUGCGAAAGCGUGGGGAGCAAACAGG
rnacentral:rRNA from 1 species